rnacentral:rRNA from 1 species
ACGGGAGGCAGCAGUGGGGAAUAUUGCACAAUGGGGGAAACCCUGAUGCAGCGACGCCGCGUGAGUGAAGAAGUAUUUCGGUAUGUAAAGCUCUAUCAGCAGGGAAGAAAAUGACGGUACCUGACUAAGAAGCCCCGGCUAACUACGUGCCAGCAGCCGCGGUAAUACGUAGGGGGCAAGCGUUAUCCGGAUUUACUGGGUGUAAAGGGUGCGUAGGUGGCUAGGUAAGUCAGAUGUGAAAACCCAGGGCUUAACUCUGGGACUGCAUUUGAAACUGCUUGGCUAGAGUGCAGGAGAGGUAAGUGGAAUUCCUAGUGUAGCGGUGAAAUGCGUAGAUAUUAGGAGGAACACCAGUGGCGAAGGCGGCUUACUGGACUGUAACUGACACUGAGGCACGAAAGCGUGGGGAGCAAACAGGAUUAGAUACCCUGGUA